AGCAAUCACUCUGCAGCUGUAAUACCGGGUGUUCCGGUGCUUGGUGAUGACUGUCUGCCCCACAGAGAUACCCUUCUCGCCAGCCUUGGACUUCUAAAAGAAGGGGCACAGAAAAAGGAGAGAAAAGAAACAGGAGAAAGAUAAAAGGCUUAUUGAGCACGUUCUCUGUUCCACAUACCCAUUGAGAUACUUCUCAGGUAUUUCACUCCAGUACCACCAAAGGUUAGCUAUAUAGCCAUGCUGCUCUGAUACCUUCACCAGAUCCAGUGCAACACGGAUCCUGUCCUGAGCCACACAUAGUGAUGACACAGAAGGAGUUCACUGAAGCUUGCCUGGGGAGCUGGCCUGAAGACCCAAAGGCUGAGGGAAAAAAGUGUCUGUCUCCAUCUUAAUAGCCACAACUUAGAAUAAGUAUGAAAGAAACAAACUUCUCAAAUGUCAUAUUUUUCAAGAGGAGAGGGCACCGAAAAAAAUGAUGUACCUCAUACAAGAUGUGUCCCAGGUGACUUCUCAGAGGAAGAACCUCUCCAGCAGAGACAACUGCGGUCCUGGGAAGAGCCAAUUCAAGGUAUAAACACAGACUGUCCAGUCCGGAGCCCAUCCCCUCUUCUGCAGCUCCCAACCCACUGCCUUGCUCCGCUCAGGUUUCUAUGAUGGUCGCUUCAGGAGAAAAAUCACCUAACUAUGUAGAAACUGAGGCACAGAGCAGUUCAGAAACUUAACCAAGAUCACACAGCUCAGAUCAUCCUGCCCUCAAGGAAGGGGGUCUGAAGCAGUGAGAGAUCCAGAGCGGAGUGUGACAACCCAGGAAUCUCCAGAUGAAGUGUCAAGUCAGCAGACAAUGCUGGUUACAGAGGCAAAGCAGACUCUCACAGGAAAAGGACUAUCUGCAGUCCUCUGGAGGCAUGCUGGGACUCACAUGCAAGAAGCAGUCAAAGCUCUGCCUCUGCAAAUGGAACAAGAGAAGCACUAUUCCUUCCAUCAUCAACCUCAGAAAGGACUCAAACUACAAGGCUCUGGAAGAUCCAGUGAGCACUUGUGAAAUCACUCUAAAUGCCCCUGGUGUCUUACCUUGAUCAUAAUAUCAGUGACAAUGCCUGACUGGGUCUCCUCCUAAUUCUUCCUGAAUCUUACUUGCUACGAAUUCUGAAAUGAAACCCAGGUGAGCACACACUACUCCUAAUGGAGCGUUGGUCUGAGUCCCUCUGUGCCAUUCUAGUGGGUGAGGUUGGAGGAAAAUCUUCUAACUGGUCCCUUCAUUCAUCAUUUAAACCUUUCCUGGGUAUGGACUCAGGCCCCACUUGAGGCUCUAGUGAUGAAAAGACAAACAGGUUACAGUCUCUUCCCUGGAGGAAGGACAGAAUCUCCAGAGAAGGAAAUCUCUGAAGUUAUUUCUUUGAUGACUCCAUUCUCGAACCACUAUGAUGUCAUUCACAGGGAGAAGGACCAAGCCAAGUGAAAGGUGCCUGAUAUCUAAACAUCAUCUACCCAAAUACCUUCCUAAAAAGUCCCUUUAGCCAGUAAUUAGAUCUUUAGUUCCUGCUCUUGUCCAAUCUCUAAAGGAAUGCAAGAAAUUUGGAAUAUUCAUCUUGUCCCUUGAGUUUCCGAAGUAACAUUCCUUAUUAGCAUCUGGUCUAACUUCAAAUGAUUGCCCUUCUGCACUCAUCUCCAGAGCUACAGACACUUGUUUUGCAGAGACCAGAGACCCAAAGCAUUUCUUCCAUCAAUAAUGAAGAGGUCUAUCUUCAUAUUUCCUCAUGCAAAGAAGUUACUCUACUUCUCAGAUUUCCCCCAUUACCCCUGCAGGCUCUGGGCCCAUGGGGUGUGUUCAAUGUUUUUCAACAGAAAUGUCAGGUGUGAUUCUGGCAUUUAUGGCUGCCAACAUCUUCCAAGUGGAUGAAUGCCAGUAACAUACUCCUGGAGACACUUUCAGUGACUGGUUUUAUAUCACCUUGUGAGAGCUGAUGAUUUCCUCUGAUCUUUUACACAUCUUGCACCAAGGACACAUGUUCAGGUUUCCCUCUGUUGUUCCUUGCUUGCAGUGAGUUUGGUUGUUGUAUGGGGCACAGGUAGGAAUGUUUCCCCCAAGUUAUUUAAAACUGUAUAAGCAUCAGGCUUGCCAAAUCAUAAAUUUAGGAAAUUGCAUUCUGUUAGAGUAAGUCCUUCCUUUAGCACUUUAGUCACCGAGUUAUUCUUCAAUUUCUUCCCUACAAACAUUUGGCCCAAGUCCCGAGGUCCAACCCAUAUCUAUGUGUCUCUUUGGCAAUAAAAGAGAUUCAGGAAAAGAGAAGGAACAAUAAAAUUUCAGGUUUACUGGCAGCACUAAGUGAAGUAAUCCCACUACGCAUACACUUUUCUUACAGGAAGAUCACUUACUCAAUCCUUCCGUUCACCUGCCUGAUGAGAUCUACAAAUAUUUUAAGAGGGUAAUUUGGAAGACUUAAAACAGCAGAAGUUGUUCAAGCUGUAGCAUCAGUCUCUGUUGUUUGCUUUAGGCUUGCCCUGAACAUUUAGCUCAUUUACACAAGUGAAUAACUACCUAUUUAUUAAUCAGGUGAACAAAGACUCAUUUAAACUACUUGUUAAUCGUGGUCUUCAAAUGUUUUUGCUUAUAAUUCCCCAAAAGACUUUUGGAAAACUACAUCUUUCCUUGAAUAUGUUAAAGUUAACUCAUAAAUUUUAUUUUUUUUUCUAUUUUAGGAUUAAAAAAAAUUAAAAGAUAUUAUUUCCCAGCA